GGUGGCUCAGUGGUAGAGCCCUUACCUUGCAUGCAUGAGGCCCUGGGUUUGAUUCCCCAGCACCA
rnacentral:tRNA from 1 species